rnacentral:rRNA from 1 species
GACGAACGCUGGCGGCGUGCUUAACACAUGCCAGUCGAACGGAAAGGCCCUGCUUUUGUGGGUUGCUCGAGUGGCGAACGGGUGAGUAACACGCGAGUAACCUGCCCUUGACUGUGGGAUAACUUCAGGAAACUGGGGCUAAUACCGGAUAGAAGCUCCUGCUGCAUGGUGGGGGUUGGAAAGUUUCGGCGGUUGGGGAUGGACUCGCUGCUUAUCAGCUUGUUGGGGGGGUAGUGGCUUACCAAGGCUUUGACGGGUAGCCGGCCUGGGAGGGUGACCGGGGACAAGGGGACUGAGAGACGGCCCAGAAUCCUACGGGAGGCAGCAGUGGGGAAUAUUGCAGAAUGGGCGGAAGUCUGAUGCAGAAACGCCGCGAGCGGGAUGACCGCUUUCGGGGUGUAAACCGCUUUCGACUGUGACGAAGCGUGAGUGACGGUAAUGGGUAAAGAAGCACCGGCUAACUACGUG